ACUCCUACGGGAGGCAGCAGUGGGGAAUAUUGCACAAUGGGGGAAAACCCUGAUGCAGCCAUGCCGCGUGUGUGAAGAAGGCCUUGGGUUGUAAAGCACUUUCAGUAGGGAGGAAGGUAGUGUAGUUAAUACCUGCAUUAUUUGUACGUUACCUACAGAAGAAGCACCGGCUAACUCCGUGCCAGCAGCCGCGGUAAGUACGGAGGGUGCGAGCGUUAAUCGGAAUUACGUGGGCGUAAAGCGCAUGCAGGCGGCCUGUUAAGUCAGAUGUGAAAGCCCGGGGCUUAACCUCGGAAUUGCAUUUGAAAACUGGCAGGCUAGAGUCUUGGUAGAGGGGGUUAGAAUUUCGAGGUGUAGCGUGGAAAUGCGUAGAGAUGUGAAGGAAUACC
rnacentral:rRNA from 1 species